AUUGAACGCUGGCGGCAUGCCUUACACAUGCAAGUCGAACGGCAGCACGGGUGCUUGCACCUGGUGGCGAGUGGCGAACGGGUGAGUAAUACAUCGGAACGUACCUUAUCGUGGGGGAUAACGCAGCGAAAGCUGUGCUAAUACCGCAUACGCCCUGAGGGGGAAAGCGGGGGAUCGAAAGACCUCGCGCGAUUAGAGCGGCCGAUGCCUGAUUCGCUUGUUGGUGGGGUAAGAGCCCACCAAGGCGACGAUCAGUAGCUGGUCUGAGAGGACGAUCAGCCACGCUGGGACGGAGACACGGCCCAGACUCCUACGGGAGGCAGCAGUGGGGAAUUUUGGACAAUGUGGGCAACCCUGAUCCAGCAAUGCCGCGUGAGUGGAGAAGGCCUUCGGGUUGUAAAGCUCUUUUGUCAGGGAAGAAACACCGGCUCUAACACAGUCCGGGAAUGACGGUACCUGAAGAAUAAGCACCGGCUAACUACGUGCCAGCCGCCGCAGUAA
rnacentral:rRNA from 1 species